rnacentral:rRNA from 1 species
AAUCGAACCCGGAGAUAGCUGGUUCUCCUCGAAAUAGCUUUAGGGCUAGCCUCGUUUUAGUCUUAUGGAGGUAGAGCACUGAAUUUCCGCGGGGGCGUCAAAGCUUACCAAAGAAUAUCAAACUCCGAAUGCCAUGUAGAUGAUGAACGGGAGUCAGACUGCACGAGAUAAGUUGGGCAGUCAAAAGGGAAAGAGCCCAGACCGCCAGCUAAGGUCCCAAAGUGUGUGUUAAGUGGAAAAGGAUGUGGGAUCUCCAAGACAACUAGGAUGUUGGCUCAGAAGCAGCCAUACAUUCAAAGAGUGCGUAACAGCUCACUAGUCGAGAGGUCCUGCGCCGAAAAUGUCCGGGGCUGAAACACAACACCGAAGCUGCGGAAUCACGCAAGUGAUUGGUAGAGGAGCAUUCUUAAUACCGACGAAGCUGUACCGGAAGGAGCAGUGGAGGGAUAAGAAGAGAGAAUGCCGGAAUGAGUAGCGAGAGAGAGGUGGGAAUCCUCUCGGCCGAAUAUCCAAGGUUUCCAGAGUAAAGCUGAUCUGCUCUGGGUAAGUCGGGGCCUAAGGCGAGGUCAAGAGACGUAGCCGAUGGACAACAGGUUUAGAUUCCUGUACCGCAUAUAAACAGAACUGUGGGGACGCAUGGGGAGAGCAUGGGCCGGGAAUGGAAAUACCGGUGCAAGCGAAGGAGGUGUGCAGCCGGCAAAUCCGCUGCAUGAGCCGAAAGCGUGACGCGGAGCGAAAUGAAAGUAGCGAAGCAUGUGAGCCCUGUGCCGAGAAAAGCCGCUAUAGCUUUAUAUGUGCCCGUACCGUAAACCGACACAGGUGGAUGAGGAGAGAAUCCUAAGGCCGGCGGAAGAAGUAUUGUUAAGGAACUCGGCAAAAUGACCCCGUAACUUCGGGAGAAGGGGUGCCCACGGGAGUGGGCCGCAGAGAAUAGGCUCAAGCAACUGUUUAGCAAAAACACAGGUCUAUGCGAAACCGAAAGGUGAGGUAUAUGGGCUGACGCCUGCCCGGUGCUGGAAGGUUAAGAGGAGAGGUUAGCGCAAGCGAAGCUUUGAAUUUAAGCCCCAGUAAACGGCGGCCGUAACUAUAACGGUCCUAAGGUAGCGAAAUUCCUUGUCGGGUAAGUUCCGACCCGCACGAAAGGCGUAAUGAUUUGAGCGCUGUCUCGACAAUGCAUCCGGUGAAAUUGAAGUACCAGUGAAGAUGCUGGUUACCCGCGCCAGGACGGAAAGACCCCAUGGAGCUUUACUCCAGUUUGGUACUGGGAUUCGGUACUGCACGUACAGGAUAGGUGGGAGACUUUGAAACUUGAACGCCAGUUUGAGUGGAGUCGCUGUUGGGAUACCACCCCUGCAGUAUUGGGUUUCUAACCAGUCACCGUGAUCCGGUGAUGGGACAAUGCCAGGCGGGGAGUUUGACUGGGGCGGUCGCCUCCGAAAGGGUAUCGGAGGCGCUCAAAGGU